CAUGCCCCAAGUACACCCAUGCUGCUCUGCACUGCUCUCUAUGGGCCGAGCAAUGAGAGGGAAACAACACGCCAAGGCACAGCGGUGGCUCGAACUAACGGUUGAAGGGGCGUGGUUCAGCAUAUUCCGCCCCAUUCGUCAAUCUGACGUCAUCAGAGAAUCCAGAGUGGAAGCAGUCAGAUUUUUGUUACUUAUCAAAUUUUCAGAUAUUGAAAAAGAAUGUUCAUUUUGUAAAAACAGUGAGGAAUCCUUGUCACUUAUUUGUAGAUUUUGGGAGUGUGCAAUUAUUUUGGAAAUGAUUAUUCUGUUAAAAUAAUAUGUUGAUAACAUUAAAUGCAAGAAAAAUUAUUUGUUAUUUUGAAAAUGGUGAAAAACAAAUUUACAAUUUUGUUAAUUUUAUUAUUUUGAAUGGUUAAUUCUUCAUCCACAAAUGUAGACUUUCAAAAUCUCCUCCUUUAUUAUAAGGUAUUUAUCAACGAAGUUAUUCUGUUAAUGAAGUCUCAAAGGUGUAAAAAUUGUAAAAGCUCUGUCUGUUGUAAGCUAUUAUGAAUCUGUUUUUGGCGUCUUGUGAAUGUCUUCCUUUUUUUAAUUUCAAUUAUCUUUGGAAUUUUUGUUUGUUGCCUGUUUUUGCUCGAUUUGUAAAUUACUAAAACAUAAUUAAAAAAAUAAAUAAAUAAAAGAUAA